GUCGAACGGGAUUAUUUUUGUAGCAAUACAGAAAUAAUUCAGUGGCGAACGGGUGCGUAACACGUGGGCAAUCUGCCGAAAAGUGGGGGAUAGCUCGCCGAAAGGCGAAUUAAUACCGCAUGUGGUGAGGGACGACAUCUUCCUGAAUCCAAAGCCGGGGCAACCUGGCGCUUUUUGAGGAGCCCGCGGCCUAUCAGCUAGUUGGUGAGGUAACGGCCCACCAAGGCUUUGACGGGUAGCUGGUCUGAGAGGACGACCAGUCACACUGGAACUGAGACACGGUCCAGACACCUACGGGUGGCAGCAGUCGAGAAUUUUUCUCAAUGGGGGCAACCCUGAAGGAGCGACGCCGCGUGGAGGAUGAAGGCUUUCGGGUUGUAAACUCCUGUCAUUUGAGAACGAGUGCCAACAAGUAACUACUGUUGGCUUGAUAGUAUCAGAAGAGGAAGGGACGGCUAACUCUGCGCCAGCAGCCGCGGUAAUACAGAGGUCCCAAGCGUUGUUCGGAUUCAUUGGGCGUAAAGGGUGCGUAGGUGGCGCCGUAAGUCGGGUGUGAAAUUUCGGAGCUUAACUCCGAAACUGCAUUCGAUACUGCGGUGCUUGAGGACUGGAGAGGAGACUGGAAUUCAUGGUGUAGCAGUGAAAUGCGUAGAGAUCAUGAGGAAGACCAGUGGCGAAGGCGGGUCUCUGGACAGUUCCUGACACUGAGGCACGAAGGCCAGGGGAGCAAACGGGAUUAGAUACCCCGGUAGUCCUGGCAGUAAACGGUGCACGUUUGGUGUGGGAGGAUUCGACCCCUUUCCGCGCCGGA
rnacentral:rRNA from 1 species